AUUGAACGCUGGCGGCAUGCCUUACACAUGCAAGUCGAACGGUAACGCGGGGCAACCUGGCGACGAGUGGCGAACGGGUGAGUAAUGCAUCGGAACGUGCCCAGCCGUGGGGGAUAACGCAGCGAAAGCUGUGCUAAUACCGCAUACGAUCUAUGGAAGAAAGCGGGGGACCGUAAGGCCUCGCGCGAUUGGAGCGGCCGAUGUCGGAUUAGGGAGUUGUUGGGGUAAAGGCCUACCAAGCCGACGAUCUGUAGCGGGUCUGAGAGGACGACCAGCCACACUGGGACUGAGACACGGCCCAGACUCCUACGGGAGGCAGCAGUGGGGAAUUUUGGACAAUGGGCGCAAGCCUGAUCCAGCAAUGCGGCGUGCAGGAAGAAGGCCUUCGGGUUGUAAACUGCUUUUUUACGGAACGAAACGGCCUGGGUUAAUACCCUGGGCUAAUGACGGUACCGUAAGAAUAAGCACCGGCUAACUACGUGCCAGCCGCCGCCGUAAAAC
rnacentral:rRNA from 1 species